UACGAAGGGGGCUAGCGUUGCUCGGAAUCACUGGGCGUAAAGGGUGCGUAGGCGGGUCUUUAAGUCAAGGGUGAAAUCCUGGAGCUCGACUCCAGAACUGCCUUUGAUACUGAAGAUCUUGAGUCCGGGAGAGGUGAGUGGAACUGCGAGUGUAGAGGUGAAAUUCGUAGAUAUUCGCAAGAACACCAGUGGCGAAGGCGGCUCACUGGCCCGUAACUGACGCUGAGGCACGAAAGCGUGGGGAGCAAACAGG
rnacentral:rRNA from 1 species